rnacentral:tRNA from 1 species
GAGGGUAUAUCUCACUGGUAGAAUGUGUGCUUAGCAUGCACGAGGUCCUGGGUUCCAUCCCCAGUGCUUCCA